GAUUCCUGUGCCUACUGAGCUGAUUAUCAGUCCUAUAGAACCACUGGCUCAGUUCAGCAGGAACAGGAGUC
rnacentral:pre_miRNA from 1 species